rnacentral:rRNA from 1 species
AGCGAAUCCCAAAAAUAAACGUCCCAGUUCGGAUUGCAGUCUGCAACUCGACUGCAUGAAGCUGGAAUCGCUAGUAAUCGCGAAUCAGAAUGUCGCGGUGAAUACGUUCCCGGGUCUUGUACACACCGCCCGUCACACCAUGGGAGUUUGUAACGCCCAAAGUCGGUGGCCUAACCUUUAUGGAGGGAGCCGCCUAAGGCGGGACAGAUGACUGGGGUGAAGUCGUAACAAGGUACC